AAGCUGACCCCCUGCCGCAUGCGCCGCUGCGCGUCUUCUCCGUUCAGAGUAUCUCACCCAUUUAAUCCUUCGAGAAAGCUGACCCCCUGCCGCAUGCGCCGCUGCGCGUCUUCUCCGUUCAGAGUACGCAGUCCUACGAGCCUAGGCUAUAGACAGGGGGUGGCGUUGCCGCCGGUCCGCUCAUCCGCGGCCGCGCCAGACGUCGCAAGCCGCUGCAGGUCUGCCCAUCCACGCGCCUGGGGAGAUUUCUCGUGGAUCCGUGGCUGCUGAGGCGGGGGACGGCGGGCAGGUGGAGGUGCCACCGCUUGAACCGCUAGACAAGGCCGUGGACGAAGCGCAGGUCGCGCCACUGGAGCUGCAGGGUUGCUGCUGCACUGAGAUGUGCUUGCGUGCGUGCUUAAUUUCUAGUCCAAACUCCUCUUGUCUUCCUCCUUUUCUCCUCUCUACUCCCUUUUGCCCCGGCCAGGAACUAGCAGACUGAUAAUUUGUUCACAAGAUUCUGUUAUUCAGUACCAACAAAUGCUCAGACUGAUAAAUUGAUAAUUGUUGUCGAGAGUUCGGGCUUUUUUGGUCUUAGAAUUUCAUUCGGCUCUGAAGAUAGUGCUUGUUUGAAGGGGAAAUAAAAAUCCAUCAGGAUGAUACCUGUGCUUAGUCUGCUACUUGCUCUACUUCAUUCUUCUGGACUUCUGUUAGCUGCUUCCAAGAGUUUGUUUGAUUAUACUCAGGAAUCUGGUGUUUCAGACAAUCAAGUUAUGACGCUAUUUGCAGACAUCCAUAGUUUGGUGCUCAAUUUGUAAAUUCCAGGACAAUGUUUCAGCUUAUGAAAAAUCGCACUGUAUGGUUGCAUCAUGUCCUUUGAAUCGUUGUCCUCAUAUUAAGCUCACAGGUUCAGCAACAAAUCGAGCACCAACUCUAGCAAACUUCAGAUUCAAGGCUUACCACAUUCCCAAACCUUUUUGCCUUUUCCGUGCUCAGAUCUGAUUAGUACUUUAGUAUGAUGAAGUCAUUAGUAGCGCAGUGUUAAGUAAGGUGCUUGAUCUGUACUUGUUCUGAAAUAUGGAACUCUGAAAUCUAUUCUCUCUUGCUACAAGUUCAAGAGUGAAGUGUUAAGUAAUUUUGUGAUCGUGUUUGAGUCAAA